GCCCGGAUGGUGGAAUUGGUAGACACACUAGUUUCAGGAGCUAGUGGGAGCAAUCUCGUGCAGGUUCGAGUCCUGUUCCGGGCACAA
rnacentral:tRNA from 1 species